rnacentral:rRNA from 1 species
UACGAAGGGGGCUAGCGUUGCUCGGAAUCACUGGGCGUAAAGCGCACGUAGGCGGAUUGUUAAGUCAGGGGUGAAAUCCUGGAGCUCAACUCCAGAACUGCCUUUGAUACUGGCAAUCUCGAGUUCGGGAGAGGUGAGUGGAACUGCGAGUGUAGAGGUGAAAAUUCGUAAAUAUUCGCAAGAACACCAGUGGCGAAGGCGGCUCACUGGCCCGAUACUGACGCUGAGGUGCGAAAGCGUGGGGAGCAAACAGG